rnacentral:rRNA from 1 species
ACGCUCGACACCUACGGGAUGCAGCAGUGGGGAAUAUUGCACAAUGGGGGAAACCCUGAUGCAGCGACGCCGCGUGGAGGAAGAAGGUCUUCGGAUUGUAAACUCCUGUUGUUGGGGAAAAAGAGGAUGGUACCCAACAAGGAAGUGACGGCUAACUACGUGCCAACAGCCGCGGUAAUCUGAGGCGGGCUGGCAAGGC